UACGUAGGGUGCGAGCGUUGUCCGGAAUUACUGGGCGUAAAGCGUGCGCAGGCGGCUAUGUAAGACAGGGGUGAAAUCCCCGGGCUUAACCUGGGAACUGCAUUUGUGACUGCAUGGCUGGAGUGCGGCAGAGGGGGAUGGAAUUCCGCGUGUAGCAGUGAAAUGCGUAGAGAUCCGGAAGAACACCGGUGGCGAAGGCGGCCUGCUGGGCAGUAGCUGACGCUGAGGCGCGACAGCGUGGGGAGCAAACAGG
rnacentral:rRNA from 1 species